rnacentral:rRNA from 1 species
UACAGAGGGCGCAAGCGUUGUUCGGAUUCAUUGGGCGUAAAGGGUGUGUAGGCGGCGCUGUAAGUCGGGGGUGAAAUCUCGGGGCUUAACUCCGAAACUGCAUUCGAUACUGCGGUGCUUGAGGACUGGAGAGGAGACUGGAAUUCAUGGUGUAGCAGUGAAAUGCGUAGAGAUCAUGAGGAAGACCAGUGGCGAAGGCGGGUCUCUGGACAGUUACUGACGCUGAGGCACGAAGGCCAGGGGAGCAAACGGG